UACGUAGGCAGCAAGCGUUGUUCGGAGUUACUGGGCGUAAAGGGUGUGUAGGCGGCCUGUUAAGUUCCGUGUGAAAUCUCCCGGCUCAACCGGGAGGGUGCGCGGAAAACUGGCGGGCUAGAGUGCGGGGAUGGGAGAGUAGAAUUCCUGGUGUAGCGGUGAAAUGCAUAGAUAUUGUCAAGAACACCAAUUGCGAAGGCAGCUUACUAAAGUAUAACUGACGCUGAGGCACGAAAGUGCGGGGAUCAAACAGGG
rnacentral:rRNA from 1 species